rnacentral:lncRNA from 1 species
CUAUGUAAUACUGAGCUAGCUACUGCUAACUAGGCUUCUGCAGAGAUGGCCAGGAUGCUUCUAGAGUGGUACUUAGGCCUUUUGCAUCAUGAGAAGACAGGGUGCUCAGAAAGAUGGGAUAAAAUUCCACUCAGCUAAGCUUCCUGGGUGUAAAACUUAGGGAUGAGUUUUUCUGUCUUUGAGAGUGAAACUUAAUGAGAAACACUGCUAAGGGUUUCAGCAUUUUCCUGACGGGAGUGAGGAGCAGCUCCACGGCAGCACGGUGGUAGAAACCAAGAACCCCCAAAGAGACAGCAAAGAUGAAGUGGCAGUAGCAAGGCAUGGCUGAGGCCAAGGCCACAUCUGGAAGAAGUAGGAGAAACCAUGGGCGAACAACUCCAACUGGGCUCAUCUAAAUCUCACAGAAGCAAAUGCCCUCACAUAAAGGGCCAGUCUAUGUGUGAUCAGUUAGAUUUGUCAUUUUCUAGGCACUAGUGAGCUUGCUUCCAGAGGACGUGGGGGAAAUGUGAAAUCCUAAGCAAGCCUCUGACUCCAAGGUCUGGUUCCUGGGCCCUGGAAACUUGUCUGGGGAAUGAUGACCUUGAUGGGGUAGGUGGUUGUGUCAGAACGCACCCCUAUUGAUUGUGGCAAGAUGAACUUAAUUUUUCUAUUUAAUUUCUUCCACACUUGGCUUCAGGGUAUUGAAAUAUGCUUACGGGGAACAAUAGAUCCUUGCAGGAUGGGGUUCUCUGUGCCAUUAACAAUGGUUGAGCUUAUUCUACUACAUCGGUCCCCUGCCAAGAGACAAAUAGCAGGAAAAGAACUCAAUGCUUGUUAGGACUUUUUUCUUACAGAGAUUGGGGACUGAUAGCUAAACUGGGUUUAGGUUGUUGUGGCCUAACAUGUCCCAUCCCUAUCCAUAUGUUGAAGUCCUAAUCCCCAGUCUCAGAAUGUAUUUGGAGAUAAGGUCUUUAGAUAAGUCAUUAAGUUCAAGCGAGGUUCUUAGGGCUGGCUCCGGUCUAAUAUAACAGGUGUCCUAAGAAGAGGAAAUUUGGAUAUUGACAUGAACAGAGCAAUGACCAUAUCAAGACACCAGAAGAAGACAACCAUCUAUAAGCCAAGGAGAGAGGCCUCAGAAAAAAUCAACCCCUUCGACACCUUGAUCUUGGACUUCUAGCUUCCAGAACUGUAAGAAAAUAAAUUUCUGGUGUUUAAGUCACCCAGUCUGUGGUACUUUUACGUCAGCCCUAGCAAAUGAAUGCAGUGGUCCAGGGUUCUGAAGAUAUUUCAAAAAGGCUUAGGGUAGAUGAAGCAAGGCUGAGGGGGAAGAUGAAAUACCUGUGGCCCCAAACUUUGCCUGUAUAAUUCAAUCAUCAGGUUUUGGUGUACUUUAAAGCAAUGCACAAGCAGAAUAUACAACUGUUCAUGAAAAACAAUAUUAUAGAAAUGAUAGUCACAG